rnacentral:rRNA from 1 species
AGACGUCUACAUUAGAUACCCCGGUAGUCCCAGCCGUAAACUAUGCGCGUUAGGUGUAUCGGUGACCACGAGUCACCGAGGUGCCGAAGGGAAACCGUGAAACGUGCCGCCUGGGAAGUACGGUCGCAAGGCUGAAACUUAAAGGAAUUGGCGGGGAGCACCACAACGGGUGGAGCCUGCGGUUUAAUUGGACUCAACGCCGGGAAGCUCACCGGAUAAGACAGCGGAAUGAUUGCCGGGCUGAAGACUCUGCAUGACUAGCUG